rnacentral:rRNA from 1 species
UGGGGAAUAUUGGACAAUGGGGGCAACCCUGAUCCAGCAAUGCCGCGUGUGUGAAGAAGGCCUUCGGGUUGUAAAGCACUUUCAGUGGGGACAAACAAGGCGGAGCUAACACCUCCGUCCCUGAUGGUACCCACAGAAGAAGGUCCGGCCAACUACGUGCCAGCAGCCGCGGUAAGACGUAGGGACCGAGCGUUGUCCGGAUUUAUUGGGCGUAAAGAGCUCGUAGGCGGUUGCGUAAGUCGGAUGUGAAAACUUGAGGCUCAACCUCAAGACGCCAUCCGAUACUGCGCUGACUUGAAUCCAGUAGGGGAGUGUGGAAUUCCUGGUGUAGCGGUGAAAUGCGCAGAUAUCAGGAGGAACACCUAUGGCGAAGGCAGCACUCUGGGCUGGUAUUGACGCUGAGGAGCGAAAGCAUGGGUAGCAAACAGGAUUAGAUACCCUGGUAGUCCAUGCCGUAAACGGUGGGCACUAGGUGUGGGGACUUUCAACGGUCUCCGUGCCGAAGCUAACGCAUUAAGUGCCCCGCCUGGGGAGUACGGCCGCAAGGCUA